rnacentral:rRNA from 23 species
CCUGGCGGCACUAGCGCGGUGGUCCCACCUGACCCCAUGCCGAACUCAGAAGUGAAACGCCGUAGCGCCGAUGGUAGUGUGGGGUCUCCCCAUGCGAGAGUAGGGAACUGCCAGGC